AUUGACCGCUGGCGGCAGGCCUAACACAUGCAAGUCGAACGGAGUGGCGGACGGGUGAGUAAUGUCUGGGAAACUGCCUGAUGGAGGGGGAUAACUACUGGAAACGGUAGCUAAUACCGCAUACUAUCAGAUGAGCCUAGGUCGGAUUAGCUAGUUGGUGGGGUAACGGCCUACCAAGGCGACGAUCCGUAACUGGUCUGAGAGGAUGAUCAGUCACACUGGAACUGAGACACGGUCCAGACUCCUACGGGAGGCAGCAGUGGGGAAUCUUGGACAAUGGGCGAAAGCCUGAUCCAGCCAUGCCGCGUGUGUGAAGAAGGUCUUCGGAUUGUAAAGCACUUUAAGUUGUGAGGCGUUACCCGCAGAAGAAGCACCGGCUAACUCCGUGCCAGCAGCCGCGGUAAUUC
rnacentral:rRNA from 1 species